rnacentral:rRNA from 1 species
AUGAACGCUAGCUACAGGCUUAACACAUGCAAGUCGAGGGGCAGCAUGAGCUUAGCUUGCUAAGCUUGAUGGCGACCGGCGCACGGGUGAGUAACACGUAUCCAACCUCCCGCUUACUCAGGAAUAGCCUUUCGAAAGAAAGAUUAAUGCCUGAUGGUAUCUUAAGCACACAUGUAAUUAAGAUUAAAGAUUUAUCGGUAAGCGAUGGGGAUGCGUUCCAUUAGGUAGUAGGCGGGGUAACGGCCCACCUAGCCGACGAUGGAUAGGGGUUCUGAGAGGAAGGUCCCCCACAUUGGAACUGAGACACGGUCCAAACUCCUACGGGAGGCAGCAGUGAGGAAUAUUGGUCAAUGGGCGCGAGCCUGAACCAGCCAAGUAGCGUGAAGGAUGAAGGUCCUACGGAUUGUAAACUUCUUUUAUACGGGAAUAAAGUGGCCUACGUGUAGGCUUUUGCAUGUACCGUAUGAAUAAGCAUCGGCUAACUCCGUGCCAGCAGCCGCGGUAAUACGGAGGAUGCGAGCGUUAUCCGGAUUUAUUGGGUUUAAAGGGAGCGUAGACGGGGGAUUAAGUCAGUUGUGAAAGUUUGCGGCUCAACCGUAAAAUUGCAGUUGAUACUGGUUCCCUUGAGUGCAGUUGAGGCAGGCGGAAUUCGUGGUGUAGCGGUGAAAUGCAUAGAUAUCACGAAGAACCCCGAUUGCGAAGGCAGCCUGCUAAGCUGUAACUGACGUUGAGGCUCGAAAGUGUGGGUAUCAAACAGGAUUAGAUACCCUGGUAGUCCACGCCGUAAACGAUGAGUGCUAGAUGUAGGGAGCUAUAAGUUCUCUGUAUCGCAGCUAACGCAAUAAGCACUCCGCCUGGGGAGUACGACCGCAAGGUUGAAACUCAAAGGAAUUGACGGGGACCCGCACAAGCGGUGGAGCAUGUGGUUUAAUUCGAAGCAACGCGAAGAACCUUACCAAGUCUUGACAUCUGCCUGACCGGUGAGCAAUGUCACCUUUCCUUCGGGACAGGCAAGACAGGUGGUGCAUGGUUGUCGUCAGCUCGUGCCGUGAGGUGUCGGCUUAAGUGCCAUAACGAGCGCAACCCUCGUGGCCAGUUACUAUCAGGUAAGGCUGAGGACUCUGGCCAGACUGCCAUCGUAAGAUGCGAGGAAGGUGGGGAUGACGUCAAAUCAGCACGGCCCUUACGUCCGGGGCUACACACGUGUUACAAUGGGAGGUACAGAAGGCAGCUACCCGGCGACGGGAUGCCAAUCCCGAAAGCCUCUCUCAGUUCGGACUGGAGUCUGCAACCCGACUCCACGAAGCUGGAUUCGCUAGUAAUCGCGCAUCAGCCACGGCGCGGUGAAUACGUUCCCGGGCCUUGUACACACCGCCCGUCAAGCCAUGAAAGCCGGGGGUACCUGAAGUGCGUAACCGCAAGGAGCGCCCUAGGGUAAAACCGGUAAUUGGGGCU